AUUGAACGCUGGCGGCAGGCCUAACACAUGCAAGUCGAGCGGAGCGGCGGACGGGUGAGUAAUGCCUAGGAAUCUGCCUGGUAGUGGGGGAUAACUUCCGGCAACGGGCGCUAAUACCGCAUACUAUCAGAUGAGCCUAGGUCGGAUUAGCUAGUUGGUGGGGUAAAGGCCUACCAAGGCGACGAUCCGUAACUGGUCUGAGAGGGUGACCAGCCACACUGGAACUGGGACACGGCCCAGACUCCUACGGGAGGCAGCAGUGGGGAAUCGUCCGCAAUGGACGAAAGUCUGGCGGAGCAAAGCCGCGGGAGUGAAGACGGCCUUCGGGUUGGAAAACUCCGUUAAUCGGGACGCGGUACCGGAAUAGAAAGCCACGGCUAACUACGUGCCAGCAGCCGCGGUAAUAC
rnacentral:rRNA from 1 species